AGAGUUUGAUCAUGGCUCAGGAUGAACGCUAGCGGCAGGCUUAAUACAUGCAAGUCGAGGGGCAGCGCGGGUAGCAAUACCUGGCGGCGACCGGCAAACGGGUGCGGAACACGUACACAACCUUCCCUUGAGGCGGGGGAUAGCCCAGAGAAAUUUGGAUUAAUACCCCAUAAGAUAUUGUCCCGGCAUCGGGAAGAUAUUAAAGAUUUAUCACCUUAGGAUGGGUGUGCGUAUGAUUAGGUAGUUGGUGCGGGUAACGGCCCACCAAGCCAUCGAUCAUUAACUGGUGUGAGAGCACGACCAGUCACACGGGCACUGAGACACGGGCCCGACUCCUACGGGAGGCAGCAGUAAGGAAUAUUGGUCAAUGGACGGAAGUCUGAACCAGCCAUGCCGCGUGAAGGAUGACGGCCCUCUGGGUUGUAAACUUCUUUUAUCUGGGACGAAAAAGGGCCAUUUUUGGUCAACUGACGGUACCAGAGGAAUAAGCACCGGCUAACUCCGUGCCAGCAGCCGCGGUAAUACGGAGGGUGCAAGCGUUAUCCGGAUUUACUGGGUUUAAAGGGAGCGCAGGCGGAUUGGUAAGUCAGUGGUGAAAUACCCGUGCUUAACAUGGGAACUGCCAUUGAUACUAUCAGUCUUGAAUGUUGUUGAGGUUUGCGGAAUGGGUCAUGUAGCGGUGAAAUGCAUAGAUAUGACCCGGAACACCUAUUGCGAAGGCAGCAGGCUAAACAAAUAUUGACGCUGAGGCUCGAAAGCGUGGGGAUCAAACAGGAUUAGAUACCCUAGUAGUCC
rnacentral:rRNA from 1 species